rnacentral:tRNA from 1 species
GGGCGCAUAGCUCAGCUGGUAGAGCAUUUCUCUGAUAAGGAAAAGGUCCAUGGUUCGAGUCCAUGUGCGCCCACCA